rnacentral:rRNA from 1 species
UACGUAGGGACCAAGCGUUGUCCGGAAUCAUUGGGCGUAAAGAGCGUGUAGGUGGCUUGUUAAGUCUUGCGUGAAAUCUCGGGGCUCAACCCCGAGCGGUCGUGAGAAACUGGCAGGCUAGAGUGCGGGAGAGGAGAGUGGAAUUCCUGGUGUAGCGGUGAAAUGCGCAGAUAUCAGGAAGAACACCCGUGGCGAAGGCGGCUCUCUGGAACGCAACUGACGCUGAGACGCGAAAGCGUGGGGAGCAAACAGG